rnacentral:rRNA from 1 species
UACGUAGGGUGCGAGCGUUUGUCCGGAAUUAUUGGGCGUAAAGGGCUCGUAGGCGGUUUGUCGCGUCGGGAGUGAAAUCCACUGGCUUAACUGGUGGCUUGCUUUCGAUACGGGCGACUGGAGGUAUGCAGGGGAGAACGGAAUUCCUGGUGUAGCGGUGAAAUGCGCAGAUAUCAGGAGGAACACCUAUUGCGAAGGCAGCUCGCUGGGACGUAACUGACGCUGGAGACGCGAAAGCGUGGGGAGCAAACAGG